GACAGAGGGUGCAAACGUUGUUCGGAAUUACUGGGCGUAAAGCGAGUGUAGGCGGUUUCCUAAGUCGGAUGUGAAAGCCCCGGGCUCAACCCGGGAAGUGCACUCGAAACUGUCAGGCUAGAGCACGGUAGAGGCAGAUGGAAUUCCCGGUGUAGCGGUGGAAUGCGUAGAGAUCGGGAAGAACAUCAGUGGCGAAGGCGGUCUGCUGGGCCGUUGCUGACGCUGAGGCGCGACAGCGUGGGGAGCAAACAGG
rnacentral:rRNA from 1 species